GCUGGGACAGGAAGCGUACGUAGGUUAACACUGCAUCGUCCACAUCUGAGAGCCCAUCUGCCCCACUUCCACUAGAGAGUCCCAAACACUGGUGCCAGCCACAUCUAGAACUUGUUCACUGGAACCGCUACUCUUCCCAGAGCAGGGGAACGAGCCUGAGAACUUGAGGGCAUGGAAGUCUUAUGGUCAUUGCUACCCAUGAUCCCAUCAACAGAAGACUGAUUUUAAAACUUAUCUGACCACAUACUGGUCUCAGAGGCCAGUUGGGGCUGAAGAAAUAGGGUCAGUGCAGGUACAAGGACACAAGCUCUGUCCUCCAGAACCCAAAUUAGUAAGUCAGGCCUUGUAAUCGAGGCACUGGAGAGGCCGGGAUGGCUAACUAGGUACCCAGAAGUCAGAAGUGCCCCUAUCAGCGUAACACUAUUAGGGUGUGUGGCACACCAGGCUCCUGAUGAGAGACAGCUCCGUCCAAUUCUACGGGUAGAUUAUUCUAGUCACGGACGAGGACGCUGAGGCUCAGAGGUGCAGCCAAGGAGAUGGAUAAGGCUUGGAUUCUGCUCAGCGAAGCUUAGUUCUACAAGUUAGAUUAUGAGGUAAAUCCAGCAAGUUGGAGAAAAUGACAUUUACUACAACGCCUUCAAACACCAGCACAGCCCCCACAGAAGAUGGCAGCACAUGCGUGGGGUGUGCGUGUAGAAAACAUUUUAGGGGGAGUCAAGUUAGUCAUGGGUUGCAGAUGGGCUGCGGGAAAUGGGUGGGCUUUUCACCUUCGAAAUAGUUCUGUGCCAUGGAAUGUGCUAGAAGGAACGUAUGUUACUGUUUUAAAAUAGGCCGCUGACUCCGGAGAAUCAUUUCCUCUAGUCUGCAACCCUUCUUUGACAAUGGUGCAUGGUCUCUAUUAGUAACGCAAACAAGCGUCUCAUCUGGUCUUGGCUACUGCAUCUCCAGCAAUCAGACAGGCAGACGGGCACAUCAAACACACAACCGCCUCCCACAUGGGUCUGUGCUGUGAGUGAAAACAUCGAAGAGCGAAGCUCUCCGCAUGUGAAGAACACGGCUCCUUGGGGGAUGCUCAAAAUGAAGGGCCUGUGUAUGUUCUCAUCAGCAAAUCAAGGGACUUCUAGUAUUCUAAUUAAUCUGCCGUCUGUCUGGUUAUUCUGAAUCAGGCAGCACCUGAGAAUCCUGGUCUGAAAACACUGGCAAAUGAUUUUUAUCAAAUCUGUGGCUGGACUUUCAGUUCUCCAUCCACCACAGCCAACAGAAGGGGCUUUGACCCUUUUCUCUGAGGAAGUAUUUGCCCUUCCGUUUCUUUCUGUGAACCACAAAGGUAAUAUAUGUUCACCGGGUAAAGUUUGGGGGAAAAUUUAAAUAACACAUAAGAAAGGCAAUAUUCCACUUAUCCCACUAUACAGAGAGGAGCUUUCUUAAAAUACAGAUAUAUGAAGAUCGUUCGCAGUUAUGAAUAUGGAUAUAUAUGUACGUAAGAUAGCAGAGCAUCUCUUUUACAUUUUCUCUUAGCAUGUCUCUAAUUUAAAAACUCAUUUCCAUAUCACAUUCAGUGCCAUGGUUUUUAGAUGGCUCUCCCAAAACAGCCUCUGGUAAACGUAUUUAGUUCUCAACCCUCACAGGUUCCUUUAAACUUUUCAUGAAUCUCCACUGUGAGGGACAACUCUAAAGCAGUUGCCUGUGGACGGGACAUUUUGUGAGCAUCGUCUCCUGUUAUGUAUGCUGUUGGAGAAAUCUCUAGUCUUGGUGGGAGUUGGAGAAUGGAAAUACUUUAAAAGGUUUUGCUAGCUGGAUGGUGGCGAAGGGAGCCUUUAAUCCCAGCACUUAGGAGGCAGAUGCAGGGGGAAGUCUCUGUGUGUUGGAGGCCAGCCUGGUUUACAGGCUGUUCCAGGACAGCCAAUGACACACUGGGAAACCCUGUCACAAAAAACUCCAAACCCCCCCACCCCAAAGUUUAUUUUUGCUAUGUGACAGUGACUGAGUCUCAAGGAUACUGGCCAGACAACUUCCUAGGUGACGCCCAUGCCUCGUACCCUGAGCUGUCAAUGUGCUCCGAAGAAAAACGUCUUUAUCAAACGGAGAGAUGGGAAGCUGCCUUGGCCUUGGGGGGUCCCAUUUCACGGACUGAUGGCAACAUGGAACUUUUCCCGUUUGUUGAUAUCUUUGCUAUUUGAAUGUGAGUCUAUUUUUUGGUAAAUCAUUUUGUACGUACAUGCCCCUGGAUGUGUGUGCACGUGUGCUUUGCCUGUGCGUGUGCAUGUGGAAGUCGGAGGUCAACUUUGGGUACCUGAUCUUGUUGCCUAUGUUUUAAGAUAGGGUCUGUCACUGAACCUGGAGCUCACUGCAUUGUUGAGACUGGCUGCCAGCCGGCCCCUGAGAUGUCUGUCUGUCCCCUUCUCAAUUGCUAGGGUGACGGAUUUGUUACCACCACUGGUUUUUACAAGGGUGCUGGGGAUCUGAACACAGGUCUUCAUGUUUGCACGGAAAGACCUUCACCCAGUGAAUGCUUACCCCAACCCUCACUUUCUACAGGCUAAAGAGGCCAUCUAGUGCUCAUCGCAAAUGCAGCCACUUUGUGGUUUGUUCUAAUGUAUAAAGGAUGGUGCUUAAAAGAGCUCCUGCCUACUUUCCAUUCCACACAGUGGGGGUCUUUCCCAAGUGUGCGCCCCGCCCCCUUUCAAACUCCCAUUCCAUGAAAUACCUGAUUCUAAGCAGAGCUUCUCAGCAUUCUUUUCUGUGGCCCUUUGCAUCUUUAGGAAUUCUGACUUAUUCAGUAACAGGAAAGAGAUGCAGACCUUACCACAUUGUGUGUGUGUGUAUGUGUGUGUGUGUGUGUGUGUGUGUGUGUGUGUGUGUGUGUAAAUUCCCUAACCUUUCUGCAAACAUCAAUGUUUCCUCAGUAACAUGCAAAAGGCUGAGCCCAGACAGAGAGCAGGUAUGAACACCUACAGUGAGUACAUGGGAAGGUAAGCAGCCUCGUAAUGAGUUUUUACCAAGAGGAAUAUCAGCGGAGAGACCUUUCCUCCAUGAUCAGUGGCUUGACCCUCUGUCAUGAUUCAUUUUCCGAGCUGUUAACAAUAUAACACAUUUCAAAAGAGAAGAUACAGAUUUUUCUUUUUCUUUUUUUUUUUUUUUUUCCAGAGCUGAGGACCGAACCCAGGGCCUUGCGCUUGCUAGGCAAGUGCUCUACCACUGAGCUAAAUCCCCAACCCAAGAUACGGAUUUUAAAAGGGCAGGCCAGCUGGGAGGUGAAACAGCUACCAUCCCAUUUCAGAGCUGGGAAAACAAAGGCAGCGAAGUAGAAUGUCCCAUGUGAGAUUGUGUGACCUUCAGGGAAGAGCUGGGAAUCAUGGUGCUGACGGAAAACCAGGUCACCACAGUUUGCUCAGAAACAAGUGGUUAAGACCACACUGCCCAAACCUUCCCGGCUUUACCAGGACAGUUACCUCCGUCACUGACCCAGACACCAUACAAGAUCCAGCGGAAGAGAACAUCUAGCUGGCCAGCUCCAGUGUUCACAAUUUGCCAGCAUUUAUUUAUUUAUUUUGCCUAUGGGUUGAUGAGAUUGAAUUUAUCGUUAAGUAUGUGUGUGUGCGUUCGGCAUGCGUGCACACAUGUAUGUCCGGUGCGUGUGUAGAGCUCAGAGCACAACCUGCAUUGACUCAUUCACUCCUCCCAUCACGUGGGUCCUGGGACUCACGCAAGCCUGCUAGCCUUGGCAGCAAGUGUCUUUACCCACUGAGCCAUCUCACUGGCCCCGAAUUUACUUCUUAAUUUAGUUGUCUUCUUCACACCUUACCUACACAUAUUAAUGAGGAACAGUGUACCUCAAUCGCACCCCUAUAGUCUAUCCCCCAUUCCACUUUUCCACUCCCUAGUAACCCCUGACUAUAUUUUCAGGUUGAGCUGGGCUGUAGUGUUAAGACUAUUCCUUGAGAAAAAGGCGACUUAUCAAACUGGCAUGCCCUCUCUUACUAAGGAUCUUGUUAAAUACUCAACAGGGGAUGAAUAGAAAUUCCUAUCAGUUGAAAGGAAAUGGUGUUCGGCAGAACGGGGAAGGAAUGCACAGCCAUGAGCAGAAACACACUCCAGCCCCAGGCUCUCAAAACUGGAUUCUUGUAGGAUGACACCCUGAGAGCAGCAACAAGCCAGCAUGACACCGGCUUGGGGGAUUUCUCCCUAAAAGGAAAUCCUCUUAGAGGAUUUUCUCUGUUCAACCUCUGCUGCCCCAAAAGUGGGAGGACUCUUUACAAUGUCUGAAUUCCCUGCUGUGAGUCAAAGACCCAGACGCCUCCUAUGGUUAGUCACUGUUUCAGUGGGGGCCUCUUGUAGGUGGCAACUUCUCAGUUUGACGUCUGUGCAGAUGAGGCUUGGCCUUAUGGAGAGGGGCUACCUCUUACCCUCUGCUGACAGUGUGGGUCCUUCUGUGAGAAGCCCAGUAAGGAACCUGAGUUCAAGGGUAGCUUUAACUCCUGAACUGGGACAGUAGUCACUGUGGCCAGCAAUAAACACCUUGAUCACCUCUAAAUGUCCUGCACUGACUGCCUCAUCCCCUGCUUGCCUUCAAAUGGGAGGCUGCCUUAAAUCAACUUGAAGGAAAGCAGCAGCGGACAUUUUGGUGCCUCUCCCCCUAUUUCUCUUCUGUUCUGCUUCCGGACAGAGCCUGAGAGUGCUCUGCGGGCAGGCAUCCUCUCUUAUCCAACUCAGUGUCCAUAGUAACUGGGACCAUUAUUAUUAUUAUUAUUUUCAAGUUAGCUUUUACAGACUCAACAUGAGCCCAGGCAAAUUUGAAAAUAAUUGGAGCACUAUAGAAAAAUUCAAAACAUCUUUGAUUCUUCAUCCCCCUACCCUGUUUCUAUCUCCACCUUGCUUCAGAGGCUGCCGUCAUAAUGAACUGGCGUGCUGGCGAGUUUUAUGUCAACGUGACACAAGCUAGUCAUAUAAGAGAGGGAACCUGCAUAAGAUUAAUACCUCACAGACAACUAACCACAUAACCACAGUGUCUCGUGAUCUUGAGUUUCUUAAGAUACCUAGAUGUAAAGUGUUGACUCAGACAGUGUUACAGAAUUUCUGGUACCUGGCAGGGCUCUGAUGGAUACUGCUUUAAGAAGACUUCCUUCCCUCUUUCUUAGCAGAACUCACAACCCCGGGGUAGAGAAGAGAACUCAAGCCUGAAAGGAAACCUCAUCCCAGCUUGCCCCAGAUUUAUGAUAUUGGACACACUUUCCCUUCUAUGUGACUUAGUUUCCCUGUCUGUAAAACAAGGAGGUUGGACCCCAAACUCUCCAUUCUUGGGAUGCUUUGGGUAUGCGAUGUAGGAUUUGUACCUGAGGCGUCCCCAGUCGCUCUAUCAGGGGGACCAGGUGAAGUGGGGCGUACUUGGCCUCGAGGCGUUUCAUCCGGACUUCCAGACGCUCCCCCUCUGUGGACCAACAAAGGAACAGGAAGUGAGUGUGUGGUGGGGGUAGGGGGCUACUUCUCAGAGGACCUGACGCUGUCACUGUGUCCCUAAACCUGGAGAGCGUGUGCAGAACUUUCUCCUUGGUUCUGGAGACUGCGAUGAGAGUUCAUCCUGAGGGAUUGGUAUCUCCCACGAGCUUGGAUCAAUAACAGACUCAUCCGUCUAGUGAAAUGGUGCAUUCCCUGUCACUCAGGAAGUUCGAGGCUAGAUCGAGUGACACAGGAAGGCUAGCCUAGAAGAAACAAGGCUUGGAUUGAGGAGGGGACAGGCAGAUCUCAGGGGAUGGCUGGCAGCCGGUUUCACCAAUACAGCGAACUCCAGGUUCAGUGACAGACCCUAUCUCAAAAAAACAGGCAAAGAGAUCAGAUAAAGGAACCCAAUUAGAGAGCCACUCCCAAUCCCUUAAUGUUUUCACAGGCAUCCAAAACACUAUGCUCCUUCCUGGAUGGCUGGGUUGAUGGGGAUUAGGAAGUGAGCAGAGGGAAGUGGGGGAUGUGUGAGGACCUGAGUUGGAAUCUCCAGGAACAUAUAAAAAGUUGGACCACGUAGUACACAUCUGUAAACCCAGAUUUCCUAUGGUAAAGGAGGUGGAGACGGGAGACUUCCUAGAAGUUUUCAGGCCACCUAACCUGGCACACGUAAUGGCAAACCACAAAGAGGCCCUGUCUCAUACUGAAAGCUGAAGAUGUCACUUGGGGUGUCCCCUGGCCUCCCAUGGCACAUGUGUGUCCAUACUCACACCAAUAUUCUUGUAAAGCGAGCAUUAAUCAAAUGUAAGAAGGCUGUCACUGCAGCUGGUGGUUUCUUACCUUUGAUAUAGACCCGAGGCAGAAUGUUUUGGAAGGGUGCGGCAUGGAGCAAAUCACAGACUUCCUCUUGAGACUGCAGAGAUUGGGGGGGGGGGGAGAGAAAAUGAUUGUCACAUUAAAUUAGAAUUCACUCCUAAAAUCUCGACCCCAGUUCUGCUGGCUCGAGUGCUCAAGUUCUGGGAAUUCUUAACAGCAGUGGUAGCUUGCUGGUUUCUUCGAGUCUACUCAUCAUCACAAUGAGGACAGGCUGUAGUGAGGACAGAGAAAGUCCAUAGCCUCUUACGCCUAGCUCAUGAGAGCCCAAACCAUUUUUACCCAUCACCAUACAAGGAUUUUGCUGAAGGAUUAAGAUGAAUGAAGGUUAGAGGGCCUGGACAACGCUGAGGGCUACCUCACUCUGGUUGGCUGGUCAUGAGGUCUACAGGAAUAAAGAAGAUAGCUGAGACACAGUGGAGGGUGGGGUAGGGGAAGCUGUCUCAGUUGGCAAGGUGCUGGACCUGAGCCCCAGCACGUAUGUAAAAAGUCAAGCGUGGUAAUCUGUGCAUAUAAUCCCGGCACUGGCAAGGCAAAGUUAGAUUCCUGGACAUGUUGGCCAGCUAGCCUCGUACACCCAGUGAGCUACCUUAUCUCAGAAAUAAGGUGGACUGCUCUAGAGGAGUGAUGUCUGAGGAUCACUGGUGUGUGUGUGUGUGGGGGGCACAUAUGUACAUGCACAUGUGUGUGUAUGUGUGUGUGUGUGUAUUUUGGUGAAUCCUGGUUAUCCAGAAUGGCUCUGAGCAAAUGUCUGUGUCGCUGGAUCAGUUUUCAUCAUAAUAGAUAACCAGCAAGAGAAGAGAACCUAGAACGUAGGUUUUGCUGAACACAGGUUACACACAAAAGGAAGCCUGUACCACAGGGAUGGGAGGGUACAGUUGAUUAGGGUUAAAGGGAAGACUUGACUAACAGACUUAGUUAAGGACCAGCCUCUGAUUGCUGAUUUCAGGACAAGGCGCAUGAGGGUCGGGGGGCAGCUGAAGGCCCCCUCUACUGUGUGUCUCCCCCUCCUUUCUUUUGUGGGCACCACACGAGAUGAGAUCCAGGAUGUAGUCAAACUUAACUCUUAGGAGUUAUAAGAAGCAGAGGAAACUCAGGACUAGAGGGGCUCUUGGGCUGACUCUAACACCAUCUGGAUGGAGCCCUCCCAUCCGGGGCAUCUGGAAGAGCGGCAACGAGAGAGGAAUCCUGAAAUAUCUUCAGGAAAUUGGAGAUCGAAUCCCUUCCGAGUCCCUCUUUCGGCAUCCCUGCAGGUGGCACUCCUGACUGUCCCUCGGAUGGUGAUUUUCCUCUCUGUUUAUCGUUUGACUCCCAUCUGUUGUUCUACGUCUCUUGACUCUUUCCUUGACUCUUACUAUAACACUAUCCUUCCUUAAGGGCCAUGAGGAAGCAUUUCUGUUUUUCAUCUCACUCCCAGCAAUCGCUUAUGAUUAAAUGCCUUGCAGACGAUAAUUUAUCAGUACUCACCUAUGUAGGUAAAUGCUUGCUACCCCACGUGAAUAAAUGAAGCCGUCUGUCCACGUGAUAGUUAUCCGAGCAUGAGAAAACUGCCACCCAUCCCUCCAUUCACCCAACAGAUAUUUAUAAAAUACCAGGCACGGUUCUAGGCUAGGCGGACAUGAUGUCGAACAAGUUAGACUAGAUCUGGGCUCUUGUGCCAUUUAAAUCCCUGUAAAGACUUGUGAACACAAAGAAAAUGUCAGAUAGUGAUCGCUCAAGAGAGGGACCAAGAAGGAGGCAAGAACUAAUUUGGGUCACUUAGAAAAUUCCCUAGGGAGGAGUAAAAGCUGAACAUAGGACAGACAUGGAGGAAGGUAGCCACAUAGACUCAGGUGAGCGCAUUCCAGUGCGAAGGCCGUGGGCGGCCAACAAGCUGGAGUAGAGCCACAAUGGGGCUCACAGUAUACCCUGCAUGACAUCAUGUGGGGCCCAAUGGCAUGGGCUGAGUGUAGAUUGCGUUCUCCGUAGAGAGGAGAUAUUUAGCUUAUUGCAAGCACACUUGACCCAGUCACCACAGUCAGUCACUCACAGUCUUUCUUUCUUAUGAAACAUUCUCUUGCCCUUAGGGGUGUUGCUAGAAGGCUGUCCACACCUGAAUCAUCACCUUCUACUCCGUUCCUGUGGAUAGACGAUCUUAGGAACAACCCGAGAGCUCAGAGAAAGGAAGAGAUGGCUCUAGACGAACAACACAGUAGCUCAAGUUUAUUUUACACAGGAAACUUUGACUCUCUGCAGGAGAUGAAGCCCUCUCUGCCCAAAGCUUGCAAACUAGAGGCUCAGGGACUCUUGGAUGUGGGUACCCUGCCUGCCUGCCUGAUUUUUACUUUAUAGUGCUGUUUGGCCAUGGAGGUUGAGAAGGCGAUCGAGGAGCGUCCUUCUGACAGAAAGCAGGAAGGUCCGGGAGGAGGAACUAAGUGUCCAUUUGUAUGAGGAGGUGGCUACACACCUUGUGUGGGAGAGACUUGCUUGCUGUUCAUUAGCUGAGAUCAUUGCCACAGAUACAAACAGCCAGUGGGCAGACAAAGGCCUGUGUGAAGGGCAGAACAAGCUUCCAUUGUGGAGGCUGGGCUGACGGCUGGCUUCCCUCUCCUCUCAUCAGUAUCUCAAAGUAUCUAUCAGGAGCCUAGCAGGCCGCUCCCCACUGGACAAGGUCCUUUCCUGGCCUGUGAAUUCCACCCAACACUGGUCUUAACACAUGUCCCUGGCUCUGUGUCCACCACGGAAGCUUUUUCUCUUCUCCAGCAUGCUCUUGAACCCACCUCUCUCCUCAGUUCAGGGAGUUCCCUUUUUCUAGCUUUCAAUUCCAACACCACCCCCUGAAGGAUACUUCUCGAAGGCCCUUGAUCCCCUUACCCACUGUGGCAUUAAGUGUCCUUUAAGAAUCAUAUUUGUGGGGUUGGGGAUUUAGCUCAGCGCAAGGCCCUGGGUUCAGUCCCCCGCUCCGAAAAAAAGAAAAAAAAAUCAUGUUUGUUCCCCUUUCCAAAUUUGAGCUCAGUCUGUGUUUUAUACAGCACAUGGUGAUUGAAUACGUACCUCUCACUGUAAUCCAACCUCCCUAAAGUACAGACAACCUUCCUGUACAGGUUGGUCUGCCUUUUUUGCUACCCCACCAAAACAGGAGCACAGUGUUGGUUAUAUAACACGUGAUCACUAAUCACACAAUAAAAGCUGAAUGUUGGGGGCUGGGAUGUAGUUUAGGUGAUGGCGGGCUUGUCUCCAACCUAGUGAGUGGGAGGUGGAGGCAGGAGGAUCAGGAGUUGAAGGCCCUCCCUGGCUACAUGCCAAUGUGGACUGCAGGAAACCCUGUCUUCACUUUUUUUUUUUUUAAGUUAGGUGUGUAGGCAUGUGAGGGAUAAGAGACACAUUCGAAUCUCUCUCGAGUUUGGGAGUUUGGGUCUUCCUAUGCAAGCCUGGAAGUUUCUCUCCAUGACUGAUGGAAAUAAGUUCUUUUCAACCUGAACUAUGAAAUAUUUUUAACAAAUGCCUCAUUUAGUAAAUUUUCAGGUUUUUUUUCUACCCUGUAUGUAUAUAAUAACUAUAUUUUCUUCAUCAACCGCGUGUAACUCUGAAAACUAAAUUUACAGGAAAAGACAACGGAAACAACUAACGUGGAAUUUUAAAAUCAAAAGCCUCCGGUAUCUGUGAGCAGCCGACAGCCAGGAGUGCUGUUCGCGUAGGUGUGCUGAUAACAGCAUUUGGUUUUGUUUUAGGCCACACGCGGGGCACGUCACAGACACAGAACAAAAAUAUAAAUAUUAUUAAAAAAAAAAAAACCCACUGCUGUGAUAACACAAGGGCACAGGCCUCAGGAGUGGGAGGUGGUGACACUUGUUGCUGUUUCAUAAGUGUGACUGUGCAACUGUUAUGAAUCAUAAUACAAAUAUAUGUUUCAGGCAGCCCCUGUGAAGGGGUCUUUUGACCCCCAAAGGGCCCAUGGUCUGAGAACCACUGCUCUAGGAGCUUCCAAGCCCCUCCAGUAUCUGCCAUAUAUAUAUAUUUUUUUUUCCAAGACUAGAAAACUGCUCCAUUUAUUCAGGUCUCACACUAAGCUGCAGAAUGAACUCACCAGCCGUAGUCCGUGCUUCCGACGCAAGGCUAAUCAAUGACCCUGCGAACACUGACUAGGGACCAUUGUAUGUCUUGUACAGAGGUUCAAUACCAUCCAGGAGAUGAAAAAUACAGUACCACACACUGAGCGCUAGGACGGAGUCUGGGCAGAGGGGAUUUAAGCCUUUCACCCACUCAGCAGUAGGACAGAGUAUGCUCCAGGCUCUGCAGGGUGCUGGAGGAGUAGUGAGUGGGGCAGACCUGACACACGGUCCUUCUAAGAACAGAGGAGGACACAAGCCAAGUGGGAAUUCUGUACGUGCGUCAGUUGGGGUGCAUAUAAGGGCAUAGCAAUCUGCAGCCAUGUUACUGUGGCCACUGAGGUCAGGACAGUUCAAACCAGUAGUGAAUCACAGAAUUUAGUCACUGUGCUAGCAGGUUCCUGGAGGAGAUGCAUGCGUGUUAUGGUGACGGUGACAUGAAGCCAGUGACUCUCAAGGACAGUAGGAUCUGGCCCUGCGCUGACGCAGACCUGUAGAGAAUGAGCCUCAGUUUAUCUAGCCAUCUUCACCUGCAGACGUAGCCAUGUGGCUAGACCUCGGAGCAGAGGGAGGCGAUGGGAGGGCUGGUGGAGGGCCUGUGGGUCAGGGCUGAGUUUGAAUUUUCAGUACGAUGAAGUUUUAAGGCAGAGCAAUACAACUGAACUGGACUUGUUUAAAGAUUCUUUUGAUGUUCCCUGGAGAAACUGGCUGUGUCGUUUUGUGGCCUACCACUCUACCUACCCACCACCCAAAUCAACCACCACCGCCUUCUCAUUCUUUCCUGUGUCUCAGGUAGUUAAGGCUGGCCUUGAACUCAAUACCUAACCAAAGAUACCCUUGAACUCUGAAUUCUUUUGCUGCAGCUCUCCAGGUGCUGGGGUGACAGGUGUGUGCUGCUACACCUGGCUCCAUAAAGCUUCCUUUUAGCAUGCUCCUGCCUCAGCUCUGCCAUGAAAAAGGCGUGGCCGUCAGAGGAGUUAUGUGUAAGUAUUUCCCCAUAUUGAGCACAAUGAGAAAGGAUUUGGUUUGUUUGUUUGUCUGUUUGUUUUCCCAUAAAAGUCCCCAAAAUGGAAGGCAAGUCAUCUAGCUGUGACCUGGAACUCCCUGUAGGUCCCAGAUGGCCUCUUUCUAAUCUGGAUUGAACAACUCUGCAGUCCGUUAGGAUUUUCUUGCUCUUGACUUACACUUUUUCUUACACUUUUCUUACACUUCCUGGUAAAGAAUCAGAUAGCUAGGGCAGAGUUCAGUAUUAGCAGAGGCUUGAGUUUUACAAACGAGACAGAAGUGGCUCAGAGGUACAUGCUACCAAAGAGAACCUCCCAUGUAAUGGAGGUGGCUGGAAGAAACACAAGUUUUCAUCACUUCCGCCUGUGUCUUCCUGCUGUGUUUUAAUUGAUAUAACCACCCACGGCCUCUUUUCCUGACUUUUUUGAUUCCUGGUUGGUUUUUCUUUCCCCUCCUCCAUUGCUGCAGGAUGACUAGCCUUAGACCUUCCCUGGAAAGUCAGGGAUAGUCUGUCACCGUGCUUGUCACUGUUCUGAAUCACAGACGAAAGCCAGGCCCCACUGCUGUGCAAAUUACCUUCAACACCAAGCACCGAGAUCAGCUAAGGGUAAAGACUUCUCACCAGCACAGGAAGUGUCAUCAAAGUCUCAUCUGUUCAUAAAAUAUUUUUAUAGCUUUUGAACCAUGAUGAAUUAAAAAGUUCUUUUGUGUGCAUGUGUGCUUGUGUAUGUGACAGUGCAUAUGUAGAGGUCAGAGUGCAAUCAUGUGUGUGUGUGUGUGUGUGUGUGUGUGUUCAUGUGAUGAUGGUGCAUGUGCAGAGGUCAGAAUAUAAUCGUGUGUAUGUAAGAGUGUGUGUGAGUGUGUGUGUGUUCAUGUAUAUGAGGGUGCAGGUAUGGUGCCUUAGAUGUUGGUCCUCACUUUCUAGCCUUAGACCCUGGUUCUUACUGAAUGCUGUGCACUCCAGGCUGGCCAGUCCUGUGACUUUCUGGGGAUCCUGCCGUCUCCACCUCCCAUCUUGUCAAAGGACCAUCGAUCGGUGUUACUGAUGUGUGCUUCUGGGGAUCUGAACUCAGGUCUUCAUAGUUGUCCCACUUCUACCUUACCCUCGGACCCACCUCCCCAGUCCUCAGGAUGAGUUUUCUAAAGCGAGAAACUACAAAGAGAAAUGCUUAAGCCAGGACGGGUGCCAAAGCCAGUAAUGCAGAGUGGGGAAGGCGUGAGGGGAGUCUGAGGCCCGCCCUGCGUAUACAGGAAGACGCCCGUCUCAGAAGAGAAAGCAUCGGUGUCGCCUCAGCUGGGGACCGGGGCGUGAUCAUUCUACUUCUCCAGAAGGUGCUCAGGGUGUCACUGAGGAGUAGAAUUGCUCUUGGUGACCACCUGCACAGACCCAGUGUCACAGCACUGUGCAUCGCUCCUGCGACGCCCGCUAACACACUGGUGAGGGAGGCCUAGAGAGCUAACAGGGCCCAGGCCUCCUGUACAACUAUUUGUUGUCAGCAGAAUUAAGUAAAAGUGAACAGGCGUUUGGUGUCAGGAUCCCAAACUGAUUUAUUGUAAGGAACCCACAUCAAAAGUCUUCAAAGCAUCCGAAGGUUAAUUUUGCGCGGUUUUCUGCUUUAAUGUUUUCUUUCCCUAUUAUACUUCAUUUAAAAUCGAGGGGCCGGAAGGACUUCCAUCAAACGCCAAAACCCAGGAUGUUGGCAAUUUGCUGAGCCUUUGAGGCCGAGGACAUGGCUUCUCUUGGCUAAAGGGAAUUACCAAGAUUCGCCGUGCUUACAUUGAAAAAGUCCAUGUGAUUGUAAUGAGGUCAGAUUUAUGUGGAAAACGGCAUUUGACUCUAUUAAGCUCUCCUCUUGGGUUAAAAAAAAAUGACCAUUUUUCAGCUGACUUCCCAGAGAGAAUCAUGAGGCCAAUCUCAAAAGAGUGUUUUCUUAAGCAACAUCUGGCUUCGAGUCUUAAGGCAAUAAAAAGGCAAAUUCCAUUCAUGUAUUAGGUGGCUGUCUCUGUCGAGGAUGCCUGAAGAACUGACUUACAAAUGAAGCAAAGCGCCUCCCGCUACCCCCAUCUGGACUCUGGCUUUCUGGUAUGAAGGGGGCUCGGGGCCAGGCCUAGCCAGCAAGCAAGAGCUCUAAACAUUCCCUUAUAUGGGCACAUAUGUUGUUAGUGUGUUUCCUGUGGAACAGGCCAGAAAUCAGGCUUCCCACACCCACCACGACCCUCUGCAUGGAAAGUAUGAACAGUGGUUUGCCUCCUCAUCUGGGUCUCUCUUGGCGGAUAAAAGUCCACCCAGGACUCACCGUGUUCUUCCUGCUGCACGGGCUUCUGGGUCCCAGCAGCUCUCUGCAGUGCAAACCUGCAUUUUGUGUGUCUCCUUGCCAGGGUAGGUUGCAAAGUGCAGGGCAGGCUGUUUUCUCCCCCUCCACCUCUUCUGAGUAAUGGCAUAGGUGACUCUCGCCUCUUACCCUCCCCCCAUACGCUCGGCUGUCAAGGGAAUAAUAGAAUUAUCAUCCUGGUUCAGAUUUAUAUCUGAUCAACAGAGAAAGACCUGUAGUCAAGACACUGUGGCCCGCAAAGCAACGUUCCCUUUGCUAACAGCAGCAGCAUUUUCCCUCCUGACAACCUGCGGGGUGAAGUCUUCAAUCGGAGCCAGCCCGUGUCGAGACACCAGCCCUCCGGAUAAUAUCCAUUUAAGUGUGCAAACAUUUCCUUUUUUUUUUUUUUUUGGUUCUUUUUUUCGGAGCUUGGGACCGAACCCAGGGCCUUGCGCUUCCUAGGUAAGCGCUCUACCACUGAGCUAAAUCCCCAGCCCCCAAACAUUUCCUUUUAAGGGAGACAUAACUGUUUGCUGCGAUGCCCUGAAGGAUGGAGGGUGUAAAGUAGAAGGUGGAAACCCUCUUCCCUCUCAUUGCUGUCUCCACCACCCUCACAGAUGCCAUCCACCUUCUGCGCUUGGCUCAGCAGACUUUUAAAGCUAACACAACGACCAGUUUUAUAGGAGAAAGGCUGGCAUACAAGCCUCUGGAAAAAUAUCCUUCAGGAAGUGAGCAGUGGCUAUCUUAACACAACAGUGUGAUCCUUGUUCAGUUUCUGCUUAUCUGCGUUUCUCCGACUGGGGAUUGACUUCAGUCGCCAGAGGAGGUAAAACAGAGAGGAAUGAGAAUGUGCAGAAGCAGGAGGUCACCCGUGGGGCUGGCUCACUCAGCUGCAGGAUGCAAAGCCUUUAGCCACCCAGCCUUAACUAGCUCCUUAACCAGUACCUUAACCAGCUCCUUAACCAGUUUAACUAGUUCCUUAACCAGCUUAACCAGCUUGGCUGUGCACAUGUCCUUGUCCCUCAGUGGGUGACUUCUGCACUCUGAACCACACCUGGCUCCCGGCCCAUCUCCUGGGCUAGCUAUAAUCCUGGGGACAUUGGCACCCUCAGAACCAUGUUUUAUCAAAAGGCAUCUGUUCAAAAGGUCUGAUCACAGCGAGAGACACUGUUAACGGUUCACAAAGAUGUGAGGAAAUCAAAGCUUCCUAAAGUGGCUGAGUGAGAAUAAAAAUUAACCAGUCUGGGAAACGUCUAGUUUCCCCAUCUGCCAAAAAAAAAAAAAAA